UACAGAGGGUGCAAGCGUUAAUCGGAAUUACUGGGCGUAAAGCGUGCGUAGGUGGACGUUUAAGUCGAAUGUGAAAGCCCCGGGCUCAACCUGGGAACUGCAUCCGAGACUGGACAUCUAGAGUAUGGUAGAGGAAAGUGGAAUUCCCGGUGUAGCGGUGAAAUGCGUAGAUAUCGGGAGGAACAUCAGUGGCGAAGGCGACUUUCUGGACCAAUACUGACGCUGAGGCACGAAAGCGUGGGGAGCAAAC
rnacentral:rRNA from 1 species